UUGACCUCGAAUCAGGUAGGAAUACCCGCUGAACUUAAGCAUAUCAAUAAGCGGAGGAAAAGAAACCAACAGGGAUUGCCUCAGUAACGGCGAGUGAAGCGGCAACAGCUCAAAUUUGAAAUCUGGCCCCCCGGCCCGAGUUGUAAUUUGCAGAGGAUGCUUCGGGCGCGGUGCCUUCCAAGUCCCCUGGAACGGGGCGCCGGAGAGGGUGAGAGCCCCGUACGGUUGGCGGCCAAGCCUGUGUGAAGCUCCUUCGACGAGUCGAGUAGUUUGGGAAUGCUGCUCUAAGCGGGAGGUAGACCCCUUCUAAAGCUAAAUAUAGGCCAGAGACCGAUAGCGCACAAGUAGAGUGAUCGAAAGAUGAAAAGCACUUUGAAAAGAGGGUUAAACAGCACGUGAAAUUGUUGAAAGGGAAGCGCUUGCGACCAGACGUGCGCCGGGGUGCUCAGCGGGCGUUCUCGCCCGUGCACUCGCCCCGGCGCAGGCCAGCGUCGGUUCGCGUGGGAGGAUAAAGGCGCCUGGAAUGUGGCUCCCCCGGGAGUGUUAUAGCCAGGCGUGCCAUGCUCCCCUGCGGACCGAGGUACGCGUUCUGCAAGGACGCUGGCGUAAUGGUCCCCAGCGACCCGUCUUGAAACACGGACCAAGGAGUCGAGGUUUUGCGCGAGUGUUUGGGUGUUAAACCCGCACGCGUAAUGAAAGUGAACGUAGGUGGGAGCUUCGGCGCACCACCGACCGAUCCUGAUGUUUUCGGAUGGAUUUGAGUAAGAGCGUAGGGCCUCGGACCCGAAAGAUGGUGAACUAUGCUUGGAUAGGGUGAAGCCAGAGGAAACUCUGGUGGAGGCUCGCAGCGGUUCUGACGUGCAAAUCGAUCGUCAAAUCUGAGCAUGGGGGCGAAAGACUAAUCGAACCAUCUAGUAGCUGGUUACCGCCGAAGUUUCCCUCAGGAUAGCAGUGUUGUUCUUCAGUUUUAUGAGGUAAAGCGAAUGAUUAGGGACUCGGGGGCGCUAUUUAGCCUUCAUCCAUUCUCAAACUUUAAAUAUGUAAGAAGCCCUUGUUGCUUAAUUGAACGUGGGCAUUCGAAUGCAUCAACACUAGUGGGCCAUUUUUGGUAAGCAGAACUGGCGAUGUGGGAUGAACCAUACGGGGGGUUAAGGUGCCAGAGUAGACGCUCAUCAGACACCACAAAAGGCGUUAGCACAUCUUGACAGCAGGACGGUGGCCAUGGAAGUCGGAAUCCGCUAAGGACUGUGUAACAACUCACCUGCCGAAUGUGCUAGCCCUGAAAAUGGAUGGCGCUCAAGCGUCUCACCCAUACCCCCCCCUCAGGGUAGAAACGAUGCCCUGAGGAGUAGGCGGCCGCAGUGCUGUGUGACGAAGGCUAGGC
rnacentral:rRNA from 1 species